UACAGAGGUCCCGAGCGUUGUUCGGAUUCACUGGGCGUAAAGGGUGCGUAGGUGGUGAGGUAAGUCGGAUGUGAAAGCUCGGAGCUCAACUCCGAAAUGGCAUUGGAAACUACCUUGCUUGAGGAUUGGAAGGGGGACUGGAAUGCUUGGUGUAGCAGUGAAAUGCGUAGAUAUCAAGCGGAACACCAGUGGCGAAGGCGAGUCCCUGGACAACACCUGACACUGAGGCACGAAAGCUAGGGGAGCAAACAGGAUUAGAUACCCUGGUAGUCCUAGCCGUAAACGGUGCACGUUUGCUGUAAAAGGAAUCGACCCCUUUUGUGGCGAAGCUAACGCGUUAAACGUGCCGCCUGGGAAGUACGGUCGCAAGAUUAAA
rnacentral:rRNA from 1 species